rnacentral:rRNA from 1 species
AAUUUUCCACAAUGGGCGCGAGCCUGAUGGAGCAACGCCGCGUGCAGGAUGAAGGUUCUUGGAUUGUAAACUGCUUUUGUGGGUGAUGAGUCUGACGGUAACCCACGAAUAAGGGCCGGCUAACUACGUGCCAGCAGCCGCGGUCAUACGUAGGGCCCAAGCGUUAUCCGGAUUUACUGGGCGUAAAGAGUUGCGUAGGCGGCCGUUUAAGCGCGAUAUUAAAUCAGGUGGCUUAACCAUCUAAAUGUAUCGCGAACUGGGCGGCUUGAGUCUCGGAGAGGUUGCUGGAAUUUCUGGUGGAGGAGUGGAAUCCGUAGAUAUCAGAAGGAACACCGAUGGCGUAGGCAGGUGACUGGCCGACGACUGACGCUAAGGCACGAAAGCGUGGGGAGCGAACGGGAUUAGAUACCCCGGUAGUCCACGCUGUA